rnacentral:rRNA from 1 species
AUUGAACGCUGGCGGAAUGCUUUACACAUGCAAGUCGAGCGGCAGCGCGGGGCAACCUGGCGGCGAGCGGCGAACGGGUGAGUAAUGCAUCGGAACAUGUCCAUUCGUGGGGGAUAGCCCGGCGAAAGCCGGAUUAAUACCGCAUACGCCCUGAGGGGAAAGUGGGGACCGCAAGGCCUCACGCGAUUGGGUUGGCCGAUGUCCGAUUAGCUAGUUGGCGGGGUAAAGGCCCGACCAAGGCGAUGAUCGGUAGCUGGUCUGAGAGGAUGAUCAGCCACACUGGGACUGAGACACGGCCCAGACUCCUACGGGAGGCAGCAGUGGGGAA